CAGCAAGGACCUGAGGUCUGCCAUUAGUUAGAUGAAUGAGCUUAGAAGUAGAGCCUCCUCUACUUGAGCUUGGUAUUUACACCCCAGGUGACACCUUGAUUGCAUUCAUAUGAGAGAUCUUGAGUCAGAGAUACCCAAUUAAAUCACGCCUGGAUUUCUGACCCAGAGAACUUAUGGGAUAAUGUUUGUUGUGUUAAGCCACUAGGUUUUAGAGUAAUUUGUUAUGCAGCAUAUUUUGAGUGACUUUGGAACCAGGUGGUGGGUGGAGGUUGGAAAGUUUUGUUAUUGAUGAUGGAGAAAUUUCCUUGAACAGACUAUAUCGGACUGUUCAAAUUUGGGCUUUGAGGAAGCUGUAAGCGAGGGCUUAAAAGGAAAUGAAAAGGGUAUUAUUGAAGCUGGAGAAAGGGAGAUCCUUGUUUUGUUGAGACAGAAAACUUAGCAACACUCUUGACAGUAGUUGAGUGGAAAGUACGAAUUGUGCCUAAUGAACUGGAUGAUCUAGGAGAUCUAAGGGGAUUUCUAAACAAAGUGUUGAAGGUACCAACAGGUUUCUUCUUGCUGCUUAUAGCAAAAUAUGUGAGGUGCCCAUGAGUCCUCCUCUUACAUGGACCUACCACUCUUCUAUUUCUUUUUUUCUUUUUUUUUUUUUUUUUUUUUUUUUUUAGUUUUUGGUGUAAUUUUAUUUUAUUAAAAUUUUUUUUGAUUUUUUUUUGUUUUUUGUCUUUUUAGGGCUGCAUCCAUAGCAUUUGGAGGUUCCCAGGCUAGGGGCUGAGUUAGAGCUACGGCUGCUGGCCUAUACCACAGCCACAGCAACGUGGGAUCCAAGCCGUGUCUGCGACCUACACCAUAGCUCAUGGCAAUGCUGGAUCCUUAACCACUAGGCUAGCAGGGAACUCCUUCUGCCUAUUUUUUGAUUGGGUUGUGAGUUUUUGUUACUGAGUUUUAUGAGCUGUUUGUAUAUUUUGGAAAUUAAGCCUUUGUCGGUCUCAUUAUUUGUAAAUAUUUCUCUGAGACUGUAGGUCAUCUUUUUGUUUUAUUUAUGAUUUCCUUUCUGGGCCCAUAAGUUUGAUUAGGUCCCAUCUUCUAAUAUUUAUCUACUAUGUUGUAUACACUUUAUCUAUAUUUCUGACUUGUCUGUGAGUUCUGGAGGCCUUCUAAUAUGAUAGUUUACCUCUUGCUAAGAGUCUAGUUUUAAAGGGAUCUACACUCAAGCCUUGGCUCUACCUUUUACUGUGUAAUGGAAACAAGUUACUUACCUUUUCUGAAUCUCAGUUUUCUCAUCUGGAGGAUGGGAUUAAUAAUAUACUCCUAAAGAUUGUGCAUUUGGAGUUUUGUGCUCACUACUGUAUCACCAGUACCUAGAGGAGUAGGGACCCAUAACAGGUCCUUAAUAAGGAUAUAUUGAAUUAAUGAAUUGAAUAAUCUAUACCUCAGAAUGUUAUUCUGUAUUAUAAAUGAAGUAUUGCAUGGAGAGCAGUUAGCACAAUGCCUAAUAAAUAUUACUUGCUCAGUGCUGUUUUUAUUUAGGCGUUGCAUUUUUUUCUCAUUAUUUUUCAUUUUCAUUUUUUCCUCAUUAAGUUUAUAAUUCUAUAUGCAUCGUAAACUGUUUCGUACAUAAAAUGACUCCUAAGCAAUAGAUUUAUUUGUAGUCCUAGAUCAUACAUCAGGAAUCACUUGAGUUUAAAGUGCGAUUACUUGGACAUGAAGUGACUUCUGCUCCUGGCCAUAAGGAGAAGCAGUCUCUGAACUUAACCUGUUAUGGUAAACGAUGAGCAAAUAGGACAAAGGAUAUAAAAUAUUUUUAGAUAUUGGACAACAGGUAGUGUGAGAAUGUGAUUCUUAAGAAAAAGGAAACAGGUAAAGUGAGUGCUAUAAUUACCCUGGAUUUCUGCUAAGAGACAUUUCAGACCAUGGUAUAGGCAGGGGGAAAAUCUUAGUCAGGGCAUGAUGACUUGUUUAAUUGGUGAGAUAGAGAAUGUAGUUCAGAGAGGUCGAAAUGGCUAAAAAUUGCUGACAGAGAUUCAGGGAAGAGGGAACUGAGUAGAAAAAAAUUCUUGAAGUUGCAUAGGGGUUUUCUUUAGCCUUUGCUAAGAGUGUGUAGAAUGUCUGUAUAUAAAAUGAAACUCUGUGAUACUGGGCAAGGACUGACUGGAGAGCCACAAGUUGAGUAAUUUCCAGAGCUAGGGAGUUGCUCAGGCACUGGCUAUGGCUAGACAAAGUGGUGAGAUCUUUUUGAUCAUCCAAGAUGUUUAGUUAGCGACCCCCAAAUGUCCAUACCUUGGUGGUAGGGCUAACCUAGCCUGAAGUAAAGUCCAUUCCCGGUUUGUCCUAAAACAUAGCAAACUUCGAAGAUCAAGCUGAUGCACAAGUUUCUUAAUUGACUUUCAAAACAAAGCUCAACAAUCUUUAAAGGAAAAUAACAAAACCCAGACACUUAAAUGAAUAACACUGCACAGCAUCCAGUGAAAAAUUAUUAGAAUUUGGAAAAUGGAACACCAGGGGAAAACUUAAGGCAGGGAAAAUAGAUUAAGAAUAACAAAGAUGAUAGAAUUAGCAAAAGCUAUUAUUUAUUUAUUAAUUUUGCCUUUUAGAGCCAUGCCCAUGGCAUAUGGAGGUUUCCAGGCUAGGGAUGAAUCAGAGCUGUAGCUGCCAGCUUACACCACAGCCACAGCAGGGCCAGAUCUGAGUUGCAUCUGUGAUCUAUACCACAGCUCACAGCAACUCCACAUCCUAAACCCACUGAGCGAGGCUAGAGAUUGAACCUGCAUCCUCAUGGAUACUAGUCAGCUUUGUUUCCACUGAGCUACAAUGGGAACUCCAGCAAAAAAUUUUAAAUGGGCAUUAUAAAUAUGUUCAGAGGAGUUCCUUUUGUGGCACAGAAGAAACAAAUCAGACUGGUAGCCAUGGGGUUUUGGGUUUGGUCCCUGGCCUUGUUUGGUGGGUUCAGGAUCUGGCAUUGCCAUGAGCUGUGGUGUGACUUAUGGACUUGACUCGGAUCCUGUGUUGCUGUGGCUAUGCGUGGGCCAGUGGCUCUAGCUCCAGUUUGACCCCUAGCCUGGGAACCUCCAUGUGC
rnacentral:lncRNA from 1 species